rnacentral:misc_RNA from 1 species
GUGAGUCAUCGAAUCUUUGAACGCAUCUUGCGCUCCUUGGUAUUCCGAGGAGCAUGCCUGUUUGAGUGUCGUGAACUCCUCUCAAUUUCAACUCUUUUUUUGGGUUUGACAUUGGAUUUGGGUGUUGCCGUAACCAGAGGCUCAUCCCUAAAUGCAUUAGCGAUCUGCCUUGAUCACACACAAUGUGAUACAUAAAAGCGUUGUUAAAGAUCAUGUCAUGACCGCUUCUUAACCGUCCGAAAGGACAAAACCUCAUGUCAUUUGACCUCAGAUCAGGCAGGACUACCCGCUGAACUUAAGCAUAUCAAUAAGCGGAGGA